rnacentral:rRNA from 2 species
UCAGGACGAACGCUGGCGGCGUGCCUAAUACAUGCAAGUCGAACGAACUCUGGUAUUGAUUGGUGCUUGCAUCAUGAUUUACAUUUGAGUGAGUGGCGAACUGGUGAGUAACACGUGGGAAACCUGCCCAGAAGCGGGGGAUAACACCUGGAAACAGAUGCUAAUACCGCAUAACAACUUGGACCGCAUGGUCCGAGUUUGAAAGAUGGCUUCGGCUAUCACUUUUGGAUGGUCCCGCGGCGUAUUAGCUAGAUGGUGGGGUAACGGCUCACCAUGGCAAUGAUACGUAGCCGACCUGAGAGGGUAAUCGGCCACAUUGGGACUGAGACACGGCCCAAACUCCUACGGGAGGCAGCAGUAGGGAAUCUUCCACAAUGGACGAAAGUCUGAUGGAGCAACGCCGCGUGAGUGAAGAAGGGUUUCGGCUCGUAAAACUCUGUUGUUAAAGAAGAACAUAUCUGAGAGUAACUGUUCAGGUAUUGACGGUAUUUAACCAGAAAGCCACGGCUAACUACGUGCCAGCAGCCGCGGUAAUACGUAGGUGGCAAGCGUUGUCCGGAUUUAUUGGGCGUAAAGCGAGCGCAGGCGGUUUUUUAAGUCUGAUGUGAAAGCCUUCGGCUCAACCGAAGAAGUGCAUCGGAAACUGGGAAACUUGAGUGCAGAAGAGGACAGUGGAACUCCAUGUGUAGCGGUGAAAUGCGUAGAUAUAUGGAAGAACACCAGUGGCGAAGGCGGCUGUCUGGUCUGUAACUGACGCUGAGGCUCGAAAGUAUGGGUAGCAAACAGGAUUAGAUACCCUGGUAGUCCAUACCGUAAACGAUGAAUGCUAAGUGUUGGAGGGUUUCCGCCCUUCAGUGCUGCAGCUAACGCAUUAAGCAUUCCGCCUGGGGAGUACGGCCGCAAGGCUGAAACUCAAAGGAAUUGACGGGGGCCCGCACAAGCGGUGGAGCAUGUGGUUUAAUUCGAAGCUACGCGAAGAACCUUACCAGGUCUUGACAUACUAUGCAAAUCUAAGAGAUUAGACGUUCCCUUCGGGGACAUGGAUACAGGUGGUGCAUGGUUGUCGUCAGCUCGUGUCGUGAGAUGUUGGGUUAAGUCCCGCAACGAGCGCAACCCUUAUUAUCAGUUGCCAGCAUUAAGUUGGGCACUCUGGUGAGACUGCCGGUGACAAACCGGAGGAAGGUGGGGAUGACGUCAAAUCAUCAUGCCCCUUAUGACCUGGGCUACACACGUGCUACAAUGGAUGGUACAACGAGUUGCGAACUCGCGAGAGUAAGCUAAUCUCUUAAAGCCAUUCUCAGUUCGGAUUGUAGGCUGCAACUCGCCUACAUGAAGUCGGAAUCGCUAGUAAUCGCGGAUCAGCAUGCCGCGGUGAAUACGUUCCCGGGCCUUGUACACACCGCCCGUCACACCAUGAGAGUUUGUAACACCCAAAGUCGGUGGGGUAACCUUUUAGGAACCAGCCGCCUAAGGUGGGACAGAUGAUUAGGGUGAAGUCGUACAAGGGGGAACC